rnacentral:rRNA from 1 species
UUAAAACUCAAAUGAAUUGACGGGGGCCCGCACAAGCGGUGGAGCAUGUGGUUUAAUUCGAUGCAACGCGAAGAACCUUACCUGGUCUUGACAUCCACGGAAGUUUUCAGAGAUGAGAAUGUGCCUUCGGGAACCGUGAGACAGGUGCUGCAUGGCUGUCGUCAGCUCGUGUUGUGAAAUGUUGGGUUAAGUCCCGCAACGAGCGCAACCCUUAUCCUUUGUUGCCAGCGGUCCGGCCGGGAACUCAAAGGAGACUGCCAGUGAUAAACUGGAGGAAGGUGGGGAUGACGUCAAGUCAUCAUGGCCCUUACGACCAGGGCUACACACGUGCUACAAUGGCGCAUACAAAGAGAAGCGACCUCGCGAGAGCAAGCGGACCUCAUAAAGUGCGUCGUAGUCCGGAUUGGAGUCUGCAACUCGACUCCAUGAAGUCGGAAUCGCUAGUAAUCGUGGAUCAGAAUGCCACGGUGAAUACGUUCCCGGGCCUUGUACACACC